rnacentral:rRNA from 1 species
UACAGAGGGUGCGAGCGUUGUCCGGAAUCACUGGGCGUAAAGGGCGCGUAGGCGGCCUGAUAAGUCGGGGGUGAAAUCCUGUGGCUUAACUGCAGGGCUGCCUUCUAGACUGUUAGGCUCGAGCACGGUAGAGGCAGAUGGAAUUCCCGGUGUAGCGGUGGAAUGCGUAGAGAUCGGGAAGAACAUCGGUGGCGAAGGCGGUCUGCUGGGCCGUUGCUGACGCUGAGGCGCGACAGCGUGGGGAGCAAACAGG